AACGCAUCUUGCACUCCUCUGGAGUAUGCCUGUUUGAGAAUCUUUAGUACUUCUUUACGGCCGUCUUGAUUUAUCAGGAGGGUGCGGUGAGAUUUGAGGCAUCCCUGGCGACGCUUUCGGGUGUCGGAAGGGAGUCUUUAAAAAGAAAGCUCUACUGGCACAACGUUAUUGACACUAUAUAUCUUCCAGCAGAAACGUAUGUGAAUGAAACCUAGUUUUUCAUUAUGCCGACUAAGCAGGGUAGUAAGGGCUAGUCUUGUGUAGGUGGGAUCCAUAACCAUACAUAGAGAGCACGCAAGUGUGUUGGAACCUUGGUCUCAAGUCAGGUAGUAAGACCCGCUGAACUUA
rnacentral:misc_RNA from 1 species